rnacentral:rRNA from 1 species
AACGAACGCUGUCGGCAUGCCUAACACAUGCAAGUCGAACGAGACCUUCGGGUCUAGUGGCGCACGGGUGAGUAACGCGUGGGAACCUGCCCUUAGGUUCGGAAUAACUCCCCGAAAGGGGUGCUAAUACCGGAUAAUGUCUUCGGACCAAAGAUUUAUCGCCUUGGGAUGGGCCCGCGUUGGAUUAGCUAGUUGGUAGGGUAAAAGCCUACCAAGGCGACGAUCCAUAGCUGGUAUGAGAGGAUGAUCCGCCACACUGGGACUGAGACACGGCCCAGACUCCUACGGGAGGCAGCAGUGGGGAAUAUUGGACAAUGGGCGCAAGCCUGAUCCAGCAAUGCCGCGUGAGUGAUGAAGGCCUUAGGGUUGUAAAGCUCUUUUACCCGGGAUGAUAAGGACAGUACCGGGAGAAUAAGCUCCGGCGAACUCCGU